CAAGGAAUUCAAAGACUAGGGAAGAGAGAAACAAAGAAACCACCAGCUUCAGUGUGGCGUGGUACAUGGAGAAAGGGAGAGGUGCCCAAGGGCUGACGGAAGCCAGGAAGAAGGCUCACCAAUUGGGGCGGCUUCUCCAUGGGACUUUGUGCAUCAGUGGGCUACAACUUGAGGGACAAGUCCGAGUCACUCAGACUUGAGAGUGGAUAACCCCAUGGUAUAGCGCACCUCCGAGAUGGCACCCGAUGAUCCAGACCUCCUGGAUCAGGGCCGUUCUGAGUGCCCAACAGAGAAGACAAGUGUGCGAACUCUGAGACUAGGUCACAAAAAGCAGUGCAGCAUCCUCCGCGCUCUGCUGGACUGCCUGCUCUAGGGGAGGUCAGUGUUUGGGCCAUUCGAACAGCCCUGUGAAGAGGCCCAAGUGAAGAGGCACCCGGGCCUCUGACCAAGAGCCAGUGCAACUCACCAGGCAGGUGAACGAGCCGUCUCAGCAGCGGGUCCUCCAGCCCAGUGGUGACUGCAACCCUGGCCAACGUCUUGACGGCAGCCUCGUGAGGGAACCUAAGGCGGAACCGAGAGUCAUAGACAUUAUUUUAAUAUAUAUUGCUCACUCACUAAGACUGAACUCAAGACCAACUGCAGUGUAACUCAUACUUGGACAAAACUUAUGUGACACAUGAAGUUUCCUCUUUUAAAGCCCAUCGCCAUCUUCCUGUGCAUGGGACAGGAAGACAGCCCUGCAGAGCGCUGCACUUGGGAGCCGUUUUAAACAGCAGAGUCACUCACACAGUGAAACAAACAUGACACGAAACAGACUCCAGAAAGAAUGUUUGUGCACAGUGUGUGAGCUGAAAUACGAGGCAGGAGCUCUCGUGUGCCCUCACUGCUGAGAGUGUGGGUGUCAGGCGAUUCAUAUGUUUGGCUGCUCUUCACACACCCAUGGUGGAGGUUUAGUCACUAAGUCAUGUCCGACUCUCGUGAUGCCAUGGACUGCAGCCCACCAGGCAGGCCCCUCUGUCCAUGGGAUUCUCCAGGCAAGAAUACUGGAGUGGGUUGCCAUUUCCUUUUCCAGGGUCACACACCCAUAAGUGACUGCAAAUGCACACAAAUAUUGAACUGGGGCGGGGGGGGUGGUGCUUCCCUGAUAGCUCAGUUGUAAAGAAUCCGCCUGCAAUGCAGGAGACCCCGGUUCUAUCCCUGGGUUGGAAAGAUCCCCUGGAGAAGGGAAAGGCUACCUACUCUAGUAUUCAUGUGGAGAGAAUUUUCAAACUAUGAGUCAAAGCUUCAGUGUCUUCCCUUCACGAUCUGCUUUUCAUUCAACAAACAUUUAUCUAUACUUUUACAUUUGCACAAGUCUGUGCUGAGAGUGGUAAGCUGUUCAGAGUUACUAGUUUAAAUAGGAACCCCCACCCCUGCCCUGCCCCUGCCUUGGUCAGCAGGCUUCCAGGAGGGCGCCAGUGGUAAAGAACCUGCCUGAUACUGCAGGCAGACAUGAGAGACAUGGGUGAGCACCCUGGGUCAGGAAGAUCCUCUGGAGGAAGACAUGGCAACCCACUCCAGUAUUCUUGCCGGGAGAAUCCCAUGGAGAGAGAAGCCUGGCGGGCUACAGUUCACAGGGUCGCACAGAGCCGGACAUGACUGAAGCAGCUUAGCACACAUGCACGUCCCUUGUCAGUGUCCUGAGAAGUGAAGUGUGAACGGCUGCUGGGAGGAGAGGAGCGUUGACACACAGGGCCUGGCCGCUUUAUAACUCAGAUCAUCGGUCUCCGAAACGGAUUAAGCAGUUUGCUUGUUAGGACUUUCUGCAAUCCAGCAAGGGUGGAGGCAGUUUACACCCUGAGCCCCUGAUACAGUGGGAGGAGGGCGGCAGAGGGAAGGUGCAGGGGUCUGAGGAGUGAGGCAGUGCCAUCAGGCCGGCAGAAGGGGCCGUGGACUGGCUCUGCGGAGUUUCAGGUUUAACUCUGAAGAUUCCCAUCUCAAAAGACAAGGACAGGGAACAGAAAGUCAGUUCUGGGAGCAGACUCAGUGGAGGAAAGUCUUCAGCCCUUAGGAGUUCCGGGUGUUAGUCACUCAGUCGUGUCUGACUCUUUGCGACCUCAUGGACUGUAGCCCACCAGGCUCCUCUGUCCAUGGGAUUCUCUAGGCAAGAAUACUGGAGUGGGUUGCUAUUUUCUUCUCCAGAGGAUCUUCCCCACCCAGGGAUCAAACCCGGGUCUCCGGCAUUGCAGGUGGAUUCUUUACUGUCUGAGCCACUAUGGAAGCCUUUUUUAAUGCGGGGUCUCUUCUAGCUGACCCAGCAGAUGGAGGGGCCUCCGCUCCACAACCCAAGCAGAUCCAAACCAAAUGCCUAACUGUGUCCUGUUCUCCUCUCCGGGCUUCCCUGAUGAAAACGCAGCUCUGUGAGGGAACCUAAGGAUUAAGUGUCUUAAGUAUUUACUUUUCUGAUGUCUGGCUGUAUCCCAAGAAGGAACUCAAAGUACCGAAAAGAGUGAUGGACUGAAUAAUUUUGAAAUAAGCCGUCACAGGGAACUCUUUCUCACUAUCCUUUGGAUAAGACUUAAAGGCAUCUGUUCACGGGCUUAGAGAGACCCUAGUUUGUGUCAUUAAUUGAGGGACAGUCCAUGGACAUCAUUGACUCAAUGGAUAUGAGUCGGAGCAAACUCCAGGAGGUAGUGAAGGACAGGGAAGCCUGGCGUGUGGCAGUCCGUGGAGUCACAAAGCGUUGGACAUGAGUUAGUGACUGACAACAGCAGCAAACCAUAGACUUUAGAAACAGCUGAGGACUGUGGAAGGGGAAACCACUCGGAGGCCAAGCCAGGAAUUUUUUUCAGGAAACGGUUUGGGGUCCGCCCUAGCCCAUGAACAAGUCCCAGCUUUAUUUUACAGAGAGGGCUCAAGGUGAUCUUAUCCUGGAAGAUUUUCAAAGUCCACUACCCCCUGCAAAAAUUCCAGCAAUGCUUGCAUUGUAUGUACAGACAGGAAACUUGUGUUUCUCUCCCAAAGCCCCUGCAGAGUGUAGUAUGCCUGAAGUCCCUUCAUGCCUACCCUGACCCUUCAUCUAGGUGACAGGAUUAUUCUUCCUGUCUCCUGACACCGAGACAGAUACUCAGUUUAAGAAGUAGCAUCCUAAAAAUCUGAUCCCACUGAAUUUCUCCACUAAUCGUGUCCUGUUUCUCCCAACUACCAGGACUUAGUGGUAUCAAAGGGAUAGUAAUGGAUGGCAGAUUAAGUAACAGGAUGUAGGUUACAGGAUUACAGGAUGGAUAACAACAGUGUGACCUUCCCCAUCCCCCACCCCACAAACACACAUACCUCAGGCCAGCAGCUCAGCCUACACAUAAACCGACAUGAUUCUUAGGCACUGCAGUGUGGGCCUGGAAAUCCUGGCUGGGGGACAGAGUUCAUCCUAGCCACCGGAAGCACUAACCAUCUACUUUAGCAUCUGAUCUUAUGGAGAAGUACCAUCUAAUGAGUCAUAGAACUGGGUCUCUCUACCUUGAAAUCUGCUCCUCUUUUCCACCUCCCCGACCCCUAUGUGUCAUGAGCCUCUCAAGGUUUCCAAGCAGCUUCUUAUACCUGAGAAAAGCAGGUGCUAAAGAUAAUGCUAAAAAGAAAGAGUCAGAUGAGUAGAUGGUCAGCCCUUUCGUGGAGAGGAUUAACCUGAAGGAUUUGUCAAGUCCAGAGGUCUCUUCCCAGCUUGGUGGAAUCCCGGACACCCCUUAUGGAUCAGGUUGGGAAAUCCCAGUCUGACACCUCAUCUUUGAACUAGUAUGCAGCCUCCUCCCGUGGUCCCAGCAGUUUAUACUGAUGCACUUCAAGGGGACCAGGAUGUGGAAGUAGCAACAGGAGUCUGAACUGAAAACUUCAGCCCUUUAGCUUCAUGUACAUUAAAAACAUUUUUUUCCUCCUUGUUGUUGCAACCACAUUCAUUCUCUUCAUGCCUCUUCCAGAGGGGAGGCUUUAGGCAAAGAUAAGGGGAUGUGAGGAGAGGCCCUUUAUCUGGAAAGAGAAAUGUAGAAUAGGAAAGAGAGGGUGGCAGUUAAAUUACAUACAAUAUGCUUCUUAUCCAUUAGGGACACAUGCCUGGCAGUUCAAAGAUUUUAAAGGUAGCAUUUCCCCAAAUGCUUUUGCAAGCCUAGAUUUCUGUGUGUGAGCUGUUUGUGCUGAGUGAAAUAAAUACCUGAAGACUCUAUUGCCUUUUUUUUUUUUUUUAAAGAGAGUCGCUGUAUAAGCGAGGGGGUAAAUGACUAGAAAAGUCGGCUAAGUUACAGCGUAUCUACCAGGAAAUAAAUAUAACA
ensembl:lncRNA